UAGAGUUUGAUCCUGGCUCAGGAUGAACGCUAGCGGGAGGCCUAACACAUGCAAGCCGAGCGGUAUUUAUUUUUCGGAAUAGAGAGAANCGGCGUACGGGUGCGUAACACGUGUGCAACCUGCCCUUAUCAGGGGGAUAGCCUUUCGAAAGGAAGAUUAACACCCCAUAAUAUAUUUUCGGGCAUCUGGAGAUAUUAAAAACUACGGUGGAUAAGGAUGGGCACGCGGAAGAUUAGAUAGCUGGUGAGGUAACGGCUCACCAAGUCGAUGACCUUUAGGGGGCCUGAGAGGGUGAUCCCCCACACUGGUACUGAGACACGGACCAGACUCCUACGGGAGGCAGCAGUGAGGAAUAUUGGACAAUGGGUGAGAGCCUGAUCCAGCCAUCCCGCGUGCAGGAAGACGGCCCUAUGGGUUGUAAACUGCUUUUAUCUAGGAAUAAACCUACUUACGAGUAAGUAGCUGAAGGUACUAGAAGAAUAAGCACCGGCUAACUCCGUGCCAGCAGCCGCGGUAAUACGGAGGGUGCGAGCGUUAUCCGGAUUUAUUGGGUUUAAAGGGUUCGUAGGCGGGCUCGUAAGUCAGUGGUGAAAUCCGACAGCUUAACUGUCGAACUGCCGUUGAAACUGCGGGUCUUGAGUAAGGUAGAAGUAGCUGGAAUAAGUAGUGUAGCGGUGAAAUGCAUAGAUAUUACUUAGAACACCAAUUGCGAAGGCAGGUUACUAUGUCUUAACUGACGCUGAUGGACGAAAGCGUGGGUAGCGAACAGGAUUAGAUACCCUGGUAGUCCACGCCGUAAACGAUGCUAACUCGUUUUUGGGCUUUAGGGUUCGGAGACUAAGCGAAAGUGAUAAGUUAGCCACCUGGGGAGUACGUUCGCAAGAAUGAAACUCAAAGGAAUUGACGG
rnacentral:rRNA from 1 species